UACGGGGGGAGCAAGCGUUGUUCGGAUUUACUGGGCGUAAAGGGCGCGUAGGCGGCCAGCACAAGUCAGUUGUGAAAUCUCCGAGCUUAACUCGGAAAGGUCAACUGAUACUGUGCGGCUAGAGUGCAGAAGGGGCAACUGGAAUUCUCGGUGUAGCGGUGAAAUGCGUAGAUAUCGAGAGGAACACCUGCGGCGAAGGCGGGUUGCUGGGCUGACACUGACGCUGAGACACGAAAGCCAGGGGAGCAAACGGG
rnacentral:rRNA from 1 species